GGAUCAAGCAUGACAAGAGCAUUUGGUGGAUGCCUUGGCACAGAGAGGCGAUGAAGGACGUGACACGCUGCGAAAAGUUCCGGGGAGCUGCGAGUAAGCUUUGAUCCGGAAAUGU
rnacentral:rRNA from 1 species